CAGCCGUAAACUAUGCGCGUUAGGUGUAUCGGUGACCACGAGUUACCGAGGUGCCGAAGGGAAACCGUGAAACGUGCCGCCUGGGAAGUACGGUCGCAAGGCUGAAACUUAAAGGAAUUGGCGGGGGAGCACCACAACAGGUGGAGCCUGCGGUUUAAUUGGACUCAACGCCGGGAAGCUCACCGGAUAGGACAGCAGAAUGAUUGCCGGGCUGAAAGACCCUGCAUGACUAGCUGAGAGGAGGUGCAUGGCGUCAGUGACU
rnacentral:rRNA from 1 species